GCUUAAAAUAAAAAAUGCUUACCAAACAACAGAAAUAUCACACGUACAAGACGAACAACACGAGAAAACCGCGCGAAAAUUUUUAGUUUUUCUGUGUUAGUAGACUUUCCAGAAAGGGUUCGGAGACAUUUUGGCGUCAGUUAUUUGAGAAAAGCUUAGAUACUGUUAGAAAUUCAUUUCCGAGCAUCCAGAAACUUAUUGUUUUAAAGUUAAAAUCAGAUUAAACAUGUAAAAAAUCUUCGGGGGAAAAUGAGUGUUUUUCAUAUCGCCCCAGUCCAUAUCUGGCUGGCAGAGCGCAAGUAAUUUGUUAUUUUUUAACAUUUUUGUAAUAAACAAAGUUGGAAAAAAAGUUUAAACUGCAAAAUUAGUUUGUUAUUGACUGGAAUAAUAAAUGCCAGUUACUUGUGUCGUUUAUGAAAACAAAACUUGCAUCAGGAAAAUGAAAGCAAAACAUAUACUGCAUUCCACAGGUAAGAAAUUACAAAACAAUUGAAACUUUAAAAUAUUUAUUAAUAUUCAAUUUAUUUACAUUUCAAUAGUAAACACUACUAUGACAAUGGGUACAUAUUCAUGACAAUGGGUACAAAUUUGAUUUUUUUGCACCCCUGUUGACCUUGGUCAACAGGGGUCACACCCUUGUGCACCCCCCUAUACAUCCACCCCUGACUACACCAUCCUCAACAGGGUCGUGCAGGCAAAAAAAAUGCUGUACCAUCAGUAUUCAAAUUGGAAUUCAAACUGCAAAGCAUACCAAAAGAGGCUAGAAGCCAACUGAAAAUGCCUGAAGGAAGUUCAACCCAUCAAGGCCAUAAACAUCCAAUUAUGUCACAUGAGCAUCUAUUGUCCAGGGUUGGUAGGUUUGCUGAAUAACUAGGCCAAACACCGUCACACUAGGCCUUUGUGUUCUAAUAGUGCACCAGUGAUGAUUUGGCCUAAUUAUUCAUCUAACUUACCAACCCUGCUAUUGUCAACAACAAUAUCAUCACAUAAUACAGGAAGGUAUUAAUAGCAGAAGUGUAACUCAAGCAAAAAUCUGUCCGUGUUUUUCAAUGCACAUGAGCGAUAAGCCUGACAACACAGCUGACACCAAUAUUACGCCAUCAUUUGCCAUCCUGGCAAGUACAACUGGUACUUUGUACUUUACCGGCUGUUUUAGCCAGGAUGGCGUGGAUUGGUGUGAGCAAGUUAAAAUUUCAGUGGACAAAAACAUCAAAGGCACCAACUCAAGAUACACUUCUGCUAUACCUUCCUAUUGUGUG